rnacentral:rRNA from 1 species
CCCUUAGAUGUUCUGGGCCGCACGCGCGCUACACUGAUGCAUUCAACGAGUCUAAAACCUGGUCUGAUAGGGCUGGGUAAUCUUUUGAAAGUGCAUCGUGAUUGGGAUAGAUGAUUGCAAUUCUUCAUCUUCAACGAGGAAUGCCUAGUAAACGCAAGUCAUCAGCUUGCAUUGAUUACGUCCCUGCCCUUUGUACACACCGCCCGUCGCUACUACCGAUUGAAUGGUUUAGUGAGGUCCUCGGACUAGUGGCGAUCGCUCGAGCUCUGCUCUGUGGUCGUUCUGCCGGGAAGACGAUCGAACUUGAUCAUUUAGAGGAAGUAAAAGUCGUAACA